AACAUAAUAUAGUCAAUUGGUAGAGCGUCAGACUCUUACACAGCAACAACAGUGUUGAUCUGAAGGCUGUGGGUUCGAUCCCCACGUCGGGCUG